AGAACGAACGCUGGCGGCAGGCUUAACACAUGCAAGUCGAGCGCUCGCAGCAAUGCGAGAGCGGCAGACGGGUGAGUAACGCGUGGGAACAUACCCUCCGGUUCGGAAUAGCUCAGGGAAACUUGGAUUAAUACCGGAUACGGCUUAGCGGCGAAAGAUUCAUCGCCGGAGGAUUGGCCCGCGUUCGAUUAGCUAGUUGGCGGGGUAAUGGCCCACCAAGGCGACGAUCGAUAGCUGGUCUGAGAGGAUGAUCAGCCACAUUGGGACUGAGACACGGCCCAAACUCCUACGGGAGGCAGCAGUGGGGAAUAUUGGACAAUGGGCGCAAGCCUGAUCCAGCCAUGCCGCGUGAGUGAUGACGGCCUUAGGGUUGUAAAGCUCUUUCGCUAGGGACGAUAAUGACGGUACCUAGACAAGAAGCCCCGGCUACUUCGUGCCAGCAGCCGC
rnacentral:rRNA from 1 species